AAUAUCCUUCAGGGUAGGGUGAAAUUCCCAAUCGGCGGUGAUGAAGUAAUUCAAAGUCCGUGAGCGAAAGCUGAUUUGGUGCAAAUCCAAAACCGACAGUUAUAGUCUGGAUGGGAGAAGGGUAAA
rfam:Lysinibacillus xylanilyticus strain DSM 23493 Scaffold1, whole genome shotgun sequence.